rnacentral:misc_RNA from 1 species
GGAUGUAUUGUAACCAAGUCAAUUCCAUUUUCAUUUGCAAAUUUCCAAGCAGCAUCCUCAGCUAAGGUUUUUGAAAGCACAUACCAUAGCUGGCAUUGAAGUAGUGAAAGAAGGUUAGUAUUUUAACUUGAUGAUAGUCUAGUUAAUAUUCAUGUCAACAUGAGCAACCAGUUCAUCCAUAGAGACUUCUCCAAAAACUAAAAACGUGAUUAUGCUUCUGUGAAAGAAAGUUAACAUUUCAGACAUUCUGGACAAAAAAAAAAAUGAAAAUCUGAAAUCCAUGGCGGAAGAAGUAGGGACAAGAAAAUUUAUGAAUGGAAAGAGAGUAAAAAUCAUGUGCCGUUAUUUGUACUUGCAGAUGCACGUCAAAGGAAUGACAAGCCUCAUAUCUCAUAUUUCUAGUAGAACCAUUGCCAUUCGUGAAAUUUCAAAAUUUUCUGCAGCAGAGAAUUCCUUAAGAUGAUGAGGAAAGAAAACAAAGAACUUGUAAUAGAGACAUGAUGUAAUUUAUUUUCCUUGCAGAAAGCUGGACCUGAAAACCAAGUCUCAUCAACUACCACAUCAGGGGUCAGAGACUUCCCAUUGACAAAUACUGUAGCCACAGAAGAUGUUACAACCACUCUUUUGAUAGAAGAGACUUUUGCACAUGACUUGUUGUUCCUUUUACUGCAGGUUCAAUCAAUUGAUUCUGUGGGUCAUCUGUUGAAAAAAUGACAGGGAGAAGCUGUAUGAAAUACACCCUCACAUCCAUCAACUACAGGAUCAAAAGCUCCUUCUUCCACUAAAUUUGCUUU